GUAGUACUCCCUCCGUCCCAUAUUAAGUGACUUUCUAUUACAUGUAUCUAGACGCUUUUUAGGCAUAGAUACAUCCAUAUUUGGACAAAUUUGAGUCACUUUAUAUGGGAAGGGGGGAGUACUUG
rnacentral:pre_miRNA from 1 species